rnacentral:tRNA from 1 species
GCAGUGGUGACUCAGUGGUGGAAUUCUUGCCUUCCAUGCGGGAGAGCUGGGUUCAAGUCCUGACCAAUGCA